rnacentral:rRNA from 1 species
UACGUAGGGGGCAAGCGUUGUCCGGAUUUAUUGGGCGUAAAGAGCGUGUAGGCGGUUUGGUAGGUCCGCUGUGAAAACUCGAGGCUCAACCUCGAGACGCCGGUGGAAACCAUCAGACUAGAGUCCGGAAGAGGAGAGUGGAAUUCCUGGUGUAGCGGUGAAAUGCGCAGAUAUCAGGAAGAACACCAAUGGCGAAGGCAGCUCUCUGGGACGGUACUGACGCUGAGACGCGAAAGCGUGGGGAGCGAACAGG